CUAAUUUACUUUCCGCGCUCUUAUUUGCUUCUAAUUUUCAUUACCCGCUCGUUAUUCCCCCCAACAUUAAAAGCUUUACACCGACCCUUUGCUCUCCUAGGUCAAAACUCAAAACAUAUUUGAAAUAUCGGAUCCCCUAAAUCAAAAUCCCUUCCAAUUUGCAAACCCUUGUCGCUCGUAUGCGUUGCAGGUUAAAUCUCAGAUUGAAGUUCAUUGCAGAUUUAAUCCAUCUCGGUAUCUCUCCGUCGAUUGAAGAUCUCUAUAUCUCAUCAUCUAUUUCAUCUUGUUCUCUGACCCCCGAAAAGUUCUGGCGUCUUCUACUUUUCUCCCCCAAAUUGAACUAUAUCUCAACAGGUGGAUUCAUUGUUGCAAAAGAGGAUGGACCAAAAAAUUUGAAGACAUUUCAACAUUCUAAACCUUUAAUAUGUUUUGUUAAAAUCAUAGGUUGAUUGGAUGAUAUUUUAAUACACAAAUUAGUCUAUGCCUUGACUAUAUGUUUCAAUAUAUAUAUAUAUAUAUAUAUAUAUAUAUAUAUAUAUAUAUAUAUAAUUCAACCAUGCUUCAGGGAGUUGUCAAAAUUUGUUUCAAAGUAGGCUAAGGAAGGGAAGGUAAUUGUUCAGAAGUUGGAUAAAUAAGAAGAGCAAUUAUACAAAGUUCGAGGUCAAUGAAGCUUCGUGUUUCUUCUCCAACAAUUACAAUUAUCUAGUUCAAUAUUAUUAUGGUUUAAGUACUUGCACCACAUUUUUAAUUAUUAAACUUUUGAGAGGAUGUUUUUAUUUUAAAUAUAUUGAAAAUAUUGUUGUUAGACAAGUUCAAAUUGACUUAAUGAUAUUGUGUUUCCAUUUAAUA